AGGCACCCGCGCCCGCCGGCGCCGGCGCCGGCGCCCCGGGAGAGAGCGCGCGGGCUGCGGCUACGUACGGUUGUUGGGGUCGCUGGUGUGCUGGUUGAGCGGGAUGAUCUCCAUGCGCUGCUGGCCAUACAGGUAAUAGUCCAGCUCCUCUGCGCUGCAGCGGAAGCGCGGGGCGCCGCGACCCUCCCCGCCGCCGCCGCCACCACCACCGCACUUGACGGGCCCGGGGCCGGAGGUGGCGCCGAGGCACAGUUCCUUGGGGGGCAGCGGCUCGGCGGCGACGGCAGCGGCGGCUAGAGGCGCGAACACCGGCAGCUGCGACACCGGCAGGGCCGAGAGACCAGCCAGCGCGGCGGCAGCGGCCGCAGCAGCGCAGGAGGAGGCGGAGGAGGCGGAGGUGGAAGAGGAAGCCGGCGUGGACGAGGCGGAGGAGAGAGAGGCGGGCCGCGGGCGCAGGCUGUCCGGCGGAGGCUCAGCGCGCUCCGGGGGCGGGGGCGGCGGCGGCGGCUGAAGAGGCUGCGGCGCGCUCAGGAGACCCGCGGCGCCGCUGCCCUUGAGCGGGCCUGCGCCUCCGUGAGGGAAGAGUUGCUGCCAGUGCUGCAGUUUUCUGAACCUGGGAAACGUGCUGUUCAGACUUCAUCCGGGUCUCAUUCAGGAUGCUUCGAUGUUGGUUGGAAGAGAGUUAGACCGAAAAUGUUUUGACUGGCGUCGUUAUGACAAGGUCAUCCGUCAUUGUUGGAUAGAUUGAUAGCACCCAAGUUUAAGGCAGACACCACGAGGGAAAGCCCACGGCGCUGUGGUCCCGGAGGCUAACCAGGCAGUGUCCGCAGACCUCCAGCAACUCCAUCGGGAGGAGAGGAUGAAGUUCCAGGCCCGUUUCAAUUAAUCUGCUCGCAGAACUGCCGAAGAGUGGCUUGUCGGGCCACGGGAGAAGAAACAAAUGCUCUUUCUCACACUCUCCUGGUUCAUUGCUGAGAAACCAGGACACUCCUCUGUUCCCUGGGAGAGACAGUGAACUCCAGGGAUGGAAGUCCGGACUCCGGCGGCGGUCCCGUCAUUUGCCUUCUUGUUUCUGCCCAAACCCAGCUAGUUCCAAGCGCUUGGUCCCCAAGACUGGAAGUCCCCAAGAACCUACCUCUACCUGUCCCAACCCUGCCUCCCCCCUACCCUUUCACCCCCUGCCACCAUUAGAAAGUCUCUGGAUUUUGAAAUGCUAGUUGCAGCAGCUGCUUCCGUGGCCUCAUGCCGCCCACACUCUGGGAAGCGGAGGAGGGAGGGUUCCUCUCGUAAUAAGAUUAGCUGACCUGUUAAUGAGAGUUUUGGACGUGCCGGGCGGGGGUAGGCGCUUUAUGUCCAUUUAAUCCACCUACAUGCGGAGAAGGCAUUAUCAUUAACCCCCAUAUUGUAGAUGGGGACCGCUGAGGUUCGGAAAGUUUAGAUGGGUUGCCUAAGGUCACGCCAUUAAUGAGUAAUGGAGACGGAUUCAAAUACCGUUCGGUAAGGUGCCAAGUGCAUCUUCUGCCUACCCUAGUCCAACCUGUAGCCACUCGGUCCAGACUGACGCCAGAGGGGCUAUCAUGGGAGAGAUUUGGUUCCCCUCGCUGCGGGGUCCAGGGAAGAAGCUGAGAAGGUAGCAAAGUCCCCCUCGCCCACUACGUCUACAGGUGGCGUACCUGGGUAAUCCGAUUCAAGCUUCCGCCACACCCACCCCGGGCACAAGUCGAUCCCGAGGCUUACGGGACCCUAAGGCCCAGAGGCUACAGGAACCUCCCGUGAAGGGGGCAGGAGAAAGUUUGAGGGAGAGCCCUGAAGGUCCGGGAGCGAACGAAAAAGUCUGGAAGGGAAUAGACCAGGAGUCAGGACCUCCCCUGCACCUCCCCAGCAGGCCCACUGCGCCGAGCGGGGCCCCUGCCUCCACCGCGGCUUCCGGGAUGCCCGCAGAGCUCGGCAUCCUCACCCGGUGCGCACAAGGGCGCGCAGCGGCGUAAGCUGGACCCCCGACGCUGCGCGCGCUCUGAGGGGCGCUUCCCCCUCACACAGUUGACCCUGGGCCCGCUUGGUCACGGCCACCCUGGCGCAUCUCAAUAGUUUUUAGAAAGUGAGCCCACCGACGGCAAGGACAUGCACCCCCUCAAAUCCGCUUCCCCCACCCCCUUCAAUACUGAGAAGACCACGGAAACAAAUCACUUCGACCACUUAGAAAGCGAUCAAACCUUUAUAAAAAUCCAUCGCUCCCAAAUCGAUGGGUGAAUAUUUGCUGGGAAUUUGUUCCAGAGGAAUAAAUGAGGAGCCUUGAGUGUAUUAAAUGCAAACGGGGGGACACGGUGGUGUUUUUCUUCAUUGAUUAAUGACCUCUAAAAUAAAACAAGUGGGAAGAGGAGCCAGGAUCGAUAAAUUACCCAAAUUCAUCAUUUUCUCGAGCAUUUUCGCCCCGAAAAUUAUCCUUGGGAAGCCCAUUGUACCCUGAGCUGGGAGGGGAAGGAUGUAGCUGGAGGCCAGGGUAGGGAGGGAGCAGCAGAAGGGGUAGGAGGAGAGAAGGGGGUUCUGUCCAGGAGACCCUCUAUCUGAUUCCGUUUAACAUACAAUUCAAAAGUUUGCCUUUCAUAUUAUUUUUUCUUGAUGGGGGAGUGGAACAAAUGGUCGGUUGCCUUUGACAGGACUCCAAUAAAGGAUUCAGCAGCUCUCCGCUCUGCCCUGGGUGCUCCUGCUUCUAGUAGGUUUAAGGUCACGGGUGGCUGAGUUAAUAAUUCAUUAAUAUAGACAUUUAUUCAGAAGGGUUCGCUGAGAUCCACUCUUCCUGCCUCCUCCCAGAGAUUUGUUUUCCUAGGAAAUGGAUGGGGGUGGGGGGUGGGCUGCAGGUGAAAGGAGGGGGGCGGGAGGAGAAGGAAAGGCUGGAUGUAGCUAGGAGGAAUCUUUGCUGAGCCGUAUUAGCAGACAGGUCCCUUGAGCCUGCCAGCAAAAACUUGGUUGAAAAUGUGGUAUCUAAACAGCACAGAGACUCUGGCCUGCGGUGGCCCUUUUUCCUUCCAUACCUGUUCAUUCGCUUGUUUAGAAAGCUCCUUUCCUCCAUGGUUUGGGACCAGGGAGGAGCCUUCUCACUGAGGAUCUUGGAUUGCAGGCAAAAGGGAAAGCUGUGAGAAAAAAACAGGACCCCACCCCCAUCCCUAUGAGGUUCCCAAGGGAGGAGCUUUGAAACUUGCCCAGACUUGGAAUCUAAGGGAACCUCCUCUCCUGAGGGCACAGGCAACUUUUGGAGGACACUCCACCCCUCAGAAAUGGGAUCAUGGAGAAGGGGGUUGGAGGCGGAGACUGAAAGUAAAUAGUAAGUAAUAAAUCAGUAAUGGUUAGAUGGGAAUAAGUGCUAUGGAAAGCAAUAAAGGAUAGAGGGAAAGGGAGUGCAUGUAGGUGGAAGGAGUUACUGUUUUACAUAUAGUGGCCAGGGAAAGCUUCUGUUAGAAAGUGAAAUUUAAAUAGAGACUUGAAGCAAGAAGAUGCCAGUUUUCUGUCCAGAGCGGGAUAUUCCCUGCCCUAACCUAUAGCCAGUGGCUAAAGCAGUAAAAGGGGCCUCUCCUGAAGAACUGUCAAGGAUUUGCCUCCUCGCUACUGGCCACACUUGCUUCCCUUAAGCUGCUGUGUACUACUCGAUAUUCUUUCAGUACCUCCAUUGACUGUUCUCAUCAAUUGGAGUCGCCUAACUUGCUGGUAACUUAGACCCUGACACGGUGACCGACCUCCAACUAUCUGGACCUCAAUUUCUUCAACAGUCCAAAGAAGAGGCAGGACAAAUGCAGUGUUCUGUCCUAAGCUUUUAUGAAGCAGCUACCGAAUUCUGACCUCCCCACCCUAUUACAUAUUUUAUACCCUACUCCUGCAUGCUGUGAGUCUAAGAUGAGCAGGGUGUAAAAUGUAUUGCCCAACUAAAAACUAGAAAACCCUCACCAUUAAUUUUAAUCACUGCAGUCUGCCCGUUGAUCCCUUUGCAUCUUCACUUGUUCAUCCUUACUUAGUGACAGAAGACAGCGCCAGCCACCAUUGGAAAGAAAGGGUGCGAGGAGUGAGGCAGAGGAGAUAGAAGGCAGUGAAAUGCUUAGCACACAGAAGCCAGCUCUGGCCUCAGGUGAUGCAGCAGGUGCCUCGCCAUUCAUCUGACAUACCCUCCUCUUCUGAGGCCUUGGCAAUUUAGACAUGUCCUUCCCUCAGCUUUCCUCCUCUCACAAAAGUACUUGGAAGUUCAGCUCCUCACUUUGCCAGGUCAAAAAUGGCCUCUGGGUCCGGGAGACCAAGCCCAGGAGAUUUGUGACCACUCUCUUUCAUCCUCCGCCAGGACCCUGGCAGACAGCACCUAUUCACGUUACUUGAAAUGCAGCCGAAGCCUCCAGUUCCUUUCACCCUGGUCACCCAACAGCUGCCAGUCAAAUGAUGCCUCUCAGCCACCUCAGGCCUGAUUUGGAUUUGACCUACUGACCUUGAGGUGAAAGGCUCUGCAGUCCAUUAUGAAUCCCUGGGGCCAGUUCAUUCUCCCAGGAAAGCCUCUAAAUAUAUCCUUUCCGUUUGCAGGGAAAUCAGCUAUUAUAAUUUGCAAAGGUCUCGUGAGUUUAAAACAUAUUGGUGGCAGUUCAGUCCCAUAAAGAUUUAAUGAAUAGCAACUGGGUGAAAAACAACUCCUUUUUUUUUUUUUUUUGUCUUGACAAGUCAAGGAAAAGAGAAAUGAUUAGACAAGAAUAGCUAUCCCUUCAGAAACUCACAAAUUCCCUUCACUAUCUCCUUCCCAUCCCACCCUUUCCCCAGGAAUUUAAUCUUAUAUUUUUCCAAGUAUCUGUAAGAAUAGACAAACCCAAUUAUAGUUACCUACAAUUUAACAGCUGUACAGAAUAUCUAAUGAACACAUACUGUGUGCACGAGACUAUUGGUAGGGAUCUCUGGGACAAUCUUCUUUGAAGCUCUUCUAGCAAAUGCUACCUGGUUCAGACACAGUCUUCUGUUGGUCACCAGAUUGUUGCUUAAAUUAGUUGAAGCUUAUAGGACUUCAGUCAUAACCAGGAUGAGGUAAGCAUGUUACAGUACAUCUGUUCGAAUUAGAAACAUAUGCUAUGGUUGAUUCACCUUCUGAGGGUUGGCAGUUCCUAGUGCAUGGUAGGUUCCCCUGAGUGCCCAGCAACAGUCUCUAGGAGCAGCUUCCAGCUACCCUCUAAAUGAGGGGGUUCCUGAGACUUCCCCCCUCCCAGGGCGGGUUGAGGAAAGAGAAUGCAUAUUCUCACAGCGGCUCUUACAUAUACCUAGAGGAACCUGAGGAAGCCUGUCUGCCUCCCUCAUCAUACACUUUCCUGUCUGGCUGCAUGCCUUUACCCUCCUCUGAGCUGGGGUGUCAGAGGGUGACACUAAGGCUUGUUUUUAUUGGAUUGUUUCCGGUGAGUCUAUGUUCUCUAUGUAAAAGCCUCUCAAAGAAAAAAAUAACCUAUUCUCCGUUUCCUUUUGAAACUGGAAAACUUGUCUUUAAACCAAAAUAAAGACACUGUGCAGGUCACUGUGAGGAAAACCAAAAGUGUGUAAAUUGUGGUACCCCUGCCUUCCAUAAUCUUCUACUGUGGAAAUCUUUCAGAGACCUAGUUUCUCUCUCUAAUGCUCGGGUUCAAGAGCUGACAAGUGGCAUAAGAGUUCAGAAGAGAAAGCCAUCCCUUUAGGAGACAAUCAAGCAAAGCUUCACAAACGAGAUGGGCCAUAAAGAUUGUGUGCAUUCAGGUGGGUAGGGAGGAACUGAGGAAAAGUGUUCCAGGACGGGGGCUGCCUGAGCAAAAACCCGAAGACUGGUCCCUACACAGUCUGAGAGGCCCAGGUGACUUUUCUUCCUCCAUUCACGAGAAAAACUGGAUGGCUGGCUGCCCUCCUUAAGAACCAGGACCUCAUCUCCCUGGGGGUCCUGAAGUCACAUUCCAUAGAUUCUGAAAGAUGCUUUUAUGAGAAUGUUGUGACCUAAAAUAUGCUCAGGCUUAAGUCUGAGAAUCAACUCACAAUUAGGGAAACUGAAAAACAGUUCAGGGCUCCAGGAUAAAGCCAUCAGUACAGCACAUAUUCUCCUGGACUGUGAUUUGGUGAGCUUGGCAAUGCCAUUUCCUAGCUCUGGAUGGCACACACUAUGAUUUUCUGAGCUGCUCUUUUUAAACUAUAAAGAACUACAACAAAAAAAAGGAAUGAAAUGCAGUUUAAAAGACUAGUGAUCCAGAUACAUCUGAGGUAAAGACCAUGUAGGAAAAUGUUUUAGAAUAAACAAAUACACUUCCCAAAGAUCCUUACAGAUUAACCGUAGUUAUAUAGCUAGACUGCAUCAGCCCUGCUUCUUUUUAACAUGCCUCUCUCGCAGACUUUGGGGACAAAUGACCACGGUCUACUAACCUCACAUACACACAGAUGCACAUGCAUACACAGUCCCUCACAGACUUACACCAACUUGGUCUUCUUUCUGUAAGGGAGAAGGGAGUGGAGGGGCUCCUACUCUGUAUUCUGGAAUGAAACAACAGAGACAAAGAGUGCCAAUCUGUAAGGUUAAUCUGUAAGGAAAGGAUCUUUGGGAAGACUCCAAGUUAUAUAGUUAACCUCCCUUCAAAAAAGAAGAAGAAGAAGAAGAAGAAAUUGCAAAAAAGCAACUUAGGAUUCCUGACUCUCAAAGAAAAAAAACUAUUUUUGCAUUGAUAAGACUGCCAGAUUCUUAAAUAGAAUGUUUUAAAAGAUGAAUAAUCAUAAAAUACAUCCUUAGUCUAUUUUUAUAGUACAAUAAUUGACAAGUGAUACUGGAACAUUGAUUGGAAAAUUACCAUCUUGACAAUUCAGUGGUUAACAACUUGAUUUUUAAACUAUUGCUAAGUUUGACCAUAUUUUGGGCAUUUCCUUCUGCUCUGUCUACAAUGGCAAGCAUUUUUCAUUGAAACAUAUGUUUGGGUGGACAAGUGUUUUAUUUGGCAGAAACCUAAUAGUUUAAGUAUAGAUUUUUAAAUCAACUGUUUGCUCCGUAAGCUAAUGUUUUCAAACAGAAGCAUUUUUCACAAUUGUUUCCUCAAAACAAAUGUUUGUCUUGGAGCCAGUAGAGAAGGUCAAACAUUCCAGUAACCUCCUCGCUUAGGACUGUCACUACUAUUCUGUCACCUUCAAGAUCUUCUGUUGGUCUCAUUCUCUUACAGAUUUCCAUGAGUUGCUUUACAGGGCUAGUCCCCCAAAAAAUGAUUUUUUAAGAUGAGUGCAAGCAUUUCUUAAAUGACUUUUUUCUUGGUAAAAAUGAAUUGGAAGUACAUUCACAUUUAGCAAUGUUGCAUUUCAUUUGUGUAGAUGCCAUUUUACUUGUGACAUGAUUAUUGGCACUCUUUGUCUUUUCAUUGCCAGAUACAGAAUGGGUGGUAUGAGUCCUCCGCUCCCUUCUCCUUGAUGAAAAAGGAGAGGAUCAAGUUGGUGUGAGUCUGUGAGUGACUGUGUGUGUGUGUGUGUGCGCGCGCGUGCGUGAAGACAGAGGACCACUGUGAUUUAUCCCCAGAGUUUGAGAAGGGUGUUAAAAAGAAGCAGGGCUGAUCUAGUUCAGCUAUAUUACUGAGGACUCGUUCAACUGCAGGUGGCAGAAAUUAAAUUGAACUGAUCUCGACUGGGAAAAAAAGGAUUUGAUGGCUCAAAUAUUAAAAAAAAAAACAGGUUAUGGGUUUUGGGUAUAGAUGCAUUCAGAGGUUCAAACAACAUCAUGAAGUCUCAGUCUCUUAGUCUCUUCAUUCUGCCUUCCUCUGUUCUGAAUUUAAUGUCAGGCAGAAUCUUUCAUGUGGUUGCCUCCACCUUAUUCUUCUAGAAUAAGAUAGCAAUCCCAGAAGAAAAACUUCCAACAGAAAUUCUGGAAUUGAGUCUUAGACUGAUAUGGUCACCCUAUUAUCCCUGAACUAGCCAUUACAGCCAAGGAAAUAGAGUACAUUGACUGGCCAGGUCUGGACCUGAGCCCUAACCAAGCCACACAGAUUGAAACAGCCUUCAGGACAUGGCACAAGGAGGAGGAAACCAGGUGGAGACCAGCAACUUCUUGAGUCUAGGAGAUGGAGCCAAGAUUCUGGGGAGGCCAAGGUGGCUAGAGUGCAGAACAGAGGACUCAAGAGGAUAGUCCAGAUAGUCGCAGAGUCCUGGAGAGUGUUCAGCAGCAUGCUGAUCAGGUAUGUGGAUGAGUCACCCAUUUCUCCUCUCCUGAGGAAAUAAAUGAUUCUAGUACCUUAAAUAUCCUUCCAGAGAUAUUCUGUACAUAUAUAGUUAUACCUUUUCCUCAAAUGUUGUAUGAUACACUGCUCUGCAUCUUAGUUGUUUCCAUUUAAAAAUAUAGCUUAGAGAUUGUUAUAUACUUGUAAAUAAAGAUGAUUUUCAAUUUGUUUUUAUAAUGUUAUGCUCCAAUUAAUUUAAGCAGUUGUCUACUUUGUUUCUCUGCCAUCUGUAUUUUAAUAAGCAGUUCUUCAUUGAUAGCCAUUUAGAUUGUUUCAAAUCUCUUACUAUUACACAUAAUUUUGCAAUUUGGCACAUAUAUCCUUUUGCAUUUCCUGAUGAAUAUUCAAUGGUGUGCUAAGAUGGGUUUGUGACAGCCAUUUGUGAAAAGUUCAGGAAUUCUGAUAUCAGUUGAUGUUAGGACAGUAGCUUGAAAUUGGUGUGGUGGAACUACUUACACCACUAAAAUUGGCAAAGUCUACAAAUAAAAGGCUUCCAUUACCCUUUUUU
rnacentral:lncRNA from 1 species